AGAACUCCUUUUUUAAAUAUUAAACAGCUUUCCAAAUGUGUCGAACGAUCGGGCGGCGGCGGGAAUUCUUUCUUCACUCUUCUCCUCGGUGGUCAUCAAAUCCUCCGUCGCCUUGCCUUGCCUCGUCUCCGACCUUCGUCGAGUUCUUCCCUCCCGACUACCGCUCUCCCUGGCCGGCCGCCGCUUCCUCCAACUCUCCGACGGUCGACCUCCCGUCCGGCGUCCAUACCUCGGAAGCUCCAGUGACUGCAGUGUCCGGUCGGCCUCAGGCGUCAGGUUACUCAGGAUAUUGUCUGAUAUGCAAACACCUUUAGCAGAUUGGAUGUCAAGCACCGUCAGCCCAGAAGCUGCGUUGGCACCGGUGAUAUUGUCUGAUAUGGGGGCACUUACAGCAAAUUGGAUGUCAAACAUAGCCAACCUAGAAGGUGAGUUGCCACCGGUGCAGCAUCCAGGUGAGGAUUGCAAUAGGAACAACUUUCACCCAAGAGCAGUUGCUCCAACAGCAGCUCAUGUUUGCUUUCAUUUCAUAUGCUGUUAUGUUUCUUCAUGGUUAUUUAUUUUUAGCAGCAUGCUGUUAAAAAGAUAACUAUGUUGCACUUGCUUCUAGUAUAAACUUAUUCUUGGUUUUGGGCACUUACUUCUAAGUUAAAAUUUUGCUGUCUUAUAGUUUUGCUGCUUAGAAUGAUAUUCCAUACAAGUUGAAUCAUGUUUAAAUUGUUAUCUGGCUCAUUCUGUUAAAAAUUGUGUAUAUGUGAGGAGUAGAUCGGUUGAUGCUUUUCUUAACUAUGUUUGUACACUUCAGCCAAGCAAUACUGUCUUGGAAUAAAUUAUUUAGUGUUUCUGCUGCUCAUGAGAUAUAACGGUCUCUCUUUGUCUCUCAUUUUACGUGUUAAAUGCAGCCUUGAAAUACAUCCUUUUAGCACU